rnacentral:rRNA from 1 species
AUUGAACGCUGGCGGCAGGCCUAACACAUGCAAGUCGAGCGGAUGAAGGGAGCUUGCUCCUGGAUUCAGCGGCGGACGGGUGAGUAAUGCCUAGGAAUCUGCCUGGUAGUGGGGGAUAACGUCCGGAAACGGGCGCUAAUACCGCAUACGUCCUGAGGGUGAAAGUGGGGGAUCUUCGGACCUCACGCUAUCAGAUGAGCCUAGGUCGGAUUAGCUAGUUGGUGGGGUAAAGGCCUACCAAGGCGACGAUCCGUAACUGGUCUGAGAGGAUGAUCAGUCACAAUGGAACUGAGACACGGUCCAGACUCCUACGGGAGGCAGCAGUGGGGAAUAUUGGACAAUGGGCGAAAGCCUGAUCCAGCCAUGCCGCGUGUGUGAAGAAGGUCUUCGGAUUGUAAAGCACUUUAAGUUGGGAGGAAGGGCAGUAAGUUAAUACCUUGCUGUUUUGACGUUACCAACAGAAUAAGCACCGGCUAACUUCGUG